rnacentral:rRNA from 1 species
UACGAAGGGGGCUAGCGUUGUUCGGAAUCACUGGGCGUAAAGCGCACGUAGGCGGAUCUUUAAGUCAGGGGUGAAAUCCCGGAGCUCAACUUCGGAACUGCCUUUGAUACAGCACAUCUGGAGUCCGGAAGAGGUGGGUGGAAUUCCUAGUGUAGAGGUGAAAUUCGUAGAUAUUAGGAAGAACACCGGUGGCGAAGGCGGCCCACUGGUCCGGUACUGACGCUGAGGUGCGAAAGCGUGGGGAGCAAACAGG